UACGUAGGGGGCUAGCGUUGUCCGGAUUUAUUGGGCGUAAAGAGCGUGUAGGCGGCCAUGUAGGUCCGGUGUGAAAACUCGAGGCUUAACCUCGAGAUGUCAUCGGAAACCAUUUGGCUAGAGUCCGGAAGAGGAGAGUGGAAUUCCUGGUGUAGCGGUGAAAUGCGCAGAUAUCAGGAGGAACACCCGUGGCGAAAGCGGCUCUCUGGGACGGUACUGACGCUGAGACGCGAAAGCGUGGGGAGCGAACAGG
rnacentral:rRNA from 1 species